rnacentral:lncRNA from 1 species
GCGGCUGUGGGAGUGGCUGUCAGCAGAUGGAAGAGAUGCUGCUGCUUCUGCCUUGUGAUGCUAGAGGAACCAGGGAGAUCAGGGAGGUUACUCCCUCACACCAAAACCUGGAACACAAGAUGAGAAACUCUUAUCAAGACCUAAUGUACACCUGUAAGAUGAGAUAUGAAAAUGAAGCACCUCCUAAACUACCAAGAGCAGGUGGAUUAACUUGGAUGUGAUUGCAGAAUCCACAUGACAGAUUCUAUGCCUAACCAUGAUAUAGGCUCAGAGUCAUUUUCAUUUUUUUCCAAUGGAUGUUUGCAGGGCCCUCCUUCAGAGAGGGGUGAUCAGAGGAGACAGGAAGAAUAAGCUACGGAGAAGUGCUGACCUUGUUUAUUGAGGAAUUUCUGAGUGUACCGGAGGAAUCACAACCCAGGGAGAAGUCAGACAGACAUCUCAGAAAAAGAAUGCUAACCAAAACAAGAAGGUUUUUACUGAUCCUCUUCAAUUCUCACUUGGAUGUAUAACUGUAUCACUUACAAGUUCAUCUUUUUUUACAUAAUAGAUGAGUUCCAAAGAACUACUAUGUAGAAAUAUUUUUCUAAGUAUUUUAUAACAUUUUAAUGUGCAAUGAAAAGUGCUUAUUUUAAAAAGGAUUACUUGGUGCUGUUCUCAUGAUACCGAAGGGAAUUUCCAAGAGAGAGGAUGGUGGUGCAGUGCAUAUUGCAACCCCGGAUCAGCCAGAAGUCCGUGGAUUUGGGAAAGCACAUGUAACAAUGUCGUCCAGGGUACACUGCAAGGAACACAGGCUUAGAGUCACAAGGGUCUGUGCUUGAACCCAGGUCUGUUAUUUGCUACUUAUGUCCUUGGAAAUGAUUUAAUAUUGUUAUGAUUCAAUCUCUUUAUUUCUUACAUGGAUUUAAUAACAUCUACCCCAUAGUUUAACAUUUAAAUUAGAUAAUGCAUAUGUAGUGGCUAGUGGUUAUUACAAUUAUUACUCUUCUGUUACUGCAAUCUCACAGGAAGGUAAGGACCUUGACAAGAGAUGAAGGUCUGUUAUCACAAGAAGAGCAAGAAACAAACCAGCUGACUUCCGAAGCAUUUUUUAAAGUCCAGCAUCAAACUCUCGGGAGUGUGAGCAAAAAGUGGGACUGGCAUGGGAUCAGUUUUCUGCAAGUACCCUAAUCCUGUGAGUGCCCAGGCCACUUAGAUCUCUGACCUAGUGAACAUUUAGUGCUUAAUCACCCUCAAAAUAUACUAUUUUAUCCUUGAAGUGGGAUUGUCUUGGGCUUAUGCGAUGAGCCACACUGGAGACAAAAUAGACCAGUUCUGGAUCUCUGGAGGACUAAGAGAGGUCUGUGCUUUUUACCGUAUUUAACUGAGCUCCUGAUAAGAUUGCUUUCCUGGGAUUACAGAAUGGAAACUUGAGGUAUUCAUCUGAUCUCUUUCCCCUCAGCAUGCUCAACUCCAUUAACGACUAAAGAAGCACUUUCCUAGCACAUUUAAUGGGCUUGGGCUCAUAAAGAAUCAUUCCAGGUUCUCACGAUGCCCGGCUGGCCGAGGUGUUAAAGUACAGAAAACUUUAAGUCUGGAGAGGUUUAGAAGCUCAUCUUGGCACCUCAUUUUUAAGCGGGGGCUAAUUUUACCCAGAGGCCGGCCACAAGCACGAAUUUCUUCAGAUUUGGAACUUUGGGGAGAUACUUUAUGUAAAGUGUGGCUGUUGGGUUGCUGCAGCUGUGUUUGAAAAAAGUACGGGGGGUGGGAGGGGGAGAUUGAGGCCUACAGAAGUAGGAGAUUCUGUAGUUAGUCAAGCAUCAGAACCCAGGUGUUCAGAUAUGACUAGUUUUGGCAAUGUCAGGAAGAAAGGACUGGACAGGGGAAAGGAGAUUUGCAGCUAAAAAGUUAGUGCUGAGUUUGUUGGCAAACUUGCCUCUAGAAUUUUUUUUAGAAAGUGAUUUCUAAAAUAUUAUUAUAUAAGUGAAUUAGUUUCUAUUUCUGUGUAAUACAUGAAUCCAAAACUAAGCAGUUUAAAACAACAAAGAAUGAUUAUCUCCCAGUUUCUAUGGGACUGGAAUCUGAGCAUGGCUUAGGUAGAUGCCUCUGGCUCAAGAUGUCUCACAAGACUGCAAUUAAGAAGUCAGCAGGGGCUGUGGUCUCAUCUGAAGGCUCACCUUGGGAAGGACCUACUUGCAACCUCAUCCAUGUGGUUCUUGGCAAGAUUCAGUUCCUCGUGGGCUAUUGGACUAAGGGUCUCAUUGCCUUGCUGGCUGUUGUCCAGGGGACCCUACAGUUCUUUGUCAUGGAGGCCUCUUCACAGGGCAGCUUGCAACAUGGCAGUGGGCUUCCCUCAAAGCAAGUGAGAAGGCAAGAGAGAGUGCACAGCCUUUUUAUAUACUAAUAUCAAAAGUGACAUCCCAUCAACUCUACUGCAUUCUAUUCUCUAGAAGCAAGUCACUAAAUCAGCCCCCACUCAAGGGGAGGGAGGGUUACAAAGGCAUGCAUACCAGGAGGAGGGGAUCACUGGGGCCAUCUUGUAGACUGCCUACUGGACAUUUGUUUUGGGUAGAAAAUCAGGAAAACUCUGAAAUACUACACUUCAUAGGCAACUUUACCAUGAAGAUCUUAACUAAUUACACACCUUCUUGUGCCUUUUUUCUAUACACAUAUGUAUUUUUUAAAAGAUUUCAAACUAUAUAUACUAUGAUUGCCUGCACUGUUAACUCAGAAAUAUUUCAUGUAUUGGUGUCAAUAAACCUUGUUCUACUAUAUCACUUUUAACGGCUUAUUUCAUCAUGUAUUUCAUCAUAUGAACUUAUUCCACAAAUGACUCAGCCACCCUUGCUCCAGCUCUGCAUUUAAUUUUGUCAAAUUAAUGUCACAAUCAUGAAAAAUUGUGCCAGGCAUUUAAUGUGCUAAAGUGCAGCAAAUCUCAGCAAGCUCUGUGCCUUCUGGCCUGUCCCUGGGGCUCAGCCUGUAGGUCUCUAACAUGAGAGGUUCGAAUAGAUGGCCACUAAGGUCCCUUUAGAGACCAGAAAGCCUGUCCCCUGGGAGUGGUGAUUCCUCAGAGAUGCUACCCAACCCACUGGGGCCAGGAGUUUAGCAGCUGUCUAGGAUGCCUUUGUUGAUUUUGAGACCUCUGAAUCCUUCUAUGUCUGUGUAAAUAUAUACAACUUGCUUGAAUGUAUUUA